rnacentral:rRNA from 10 species
UUCUAUGGCCGUAUCACCCCGAGUGUGCCUGAUCUCAGAAGCUAAGCAGGGUCGGGACUGCUUAGCUUCUGAGAUCCAAGUACUAAGUACUUGGAUGGGAGUAACUAUGAAAG